rnacentral:rRNA from 1 species
CGCCCGCCGCGCGCGGCGGGCGGGGCGGGGGCACGGGGGGCCUACGGGAGGCAGCAGUGGGGAAUGUUCCCAAAUUGGGCGCAGCCUGAUCUGCCUGCCGCGUGAGUGAUGAAGGCCUUAGGGUUGUAAAGCUCUUUUACCCGAGAUGAUAAUGACAGUAUCGGGAGAAUAAGCUCCGGCUAACUCCGUGCCAGCAGCCGCGGUAAU